GCCAGCAGCCAUAUCACUCUGCAACCCACAACUAACAACCCACUGAAGCUAGGCAUGUGUGAGCCUGGUCAGUACCUGGAUGGGAGACCUCCUGGAAGGUAAGGUUGCUGCUGGAA
rnacentral:rRNA from 1 species